rnacentral:tRNA from 1 species
GGGCACGUUCGGUCGGUCCGAACUCAGGCUUACCAUCUUUGAGUCGUGGGGGUUCGACUCCCCUCGUGUCCA